AGUAGAAAACUGAAAUGAAACCGUGUUCUAAAAAGCCUGAAAUGAAACCUUAUUCUAAAAAACCCUGAAAUGAAACCUUGUUAAAAAACUGAAAUGAAACUUUUUUUGCGAGGACAAAUGAAACCUUGCUCUGAAAAAAAAACUAAAACGAAACCAUAUAGUUACUUAGAGGGGAAUAUUCCUCCAAUAACCAUAUAAUAACUUAACAAAGUAAAUGAGGAAUCAUUUGGUCCUAAGUGAAACCGGUGGUUUCUAAAAUAUAGAAAACUAGGACCGCUUCAGUAGGCACUACACCACACGAAUUGGCAGUUACGGCAUAAUCCAUUGUAGCUAGUCAUAUAACGCGCACACAAGGUAAGUUAUUGAGGAAACAACAUGUUUGUGGUAAACUUCAAAAUUUAGUCCCAAUGCAUAGCAUCUUUAAUAAUAUAACUAUGGAUUUGUAUUUCCAACGAUCCAGAAGCCGAGAGGUUUUCCAUUCCUUCUUAAGAAAAUGGAGCGUUGACAACGCAAGACACUCACGGUAGAAAAAUCAUAUGAUUUCAGAUUUAGACGCUACAGUAGUGUGCUGAUAAGCCGACGUAAAAUGUACAUUCUUUAGCUUUUCUUUGUAUUCAACUAACCCAUUUAUGAAAGAUUCUAAAAAUGACUCAUUUCUCCAGUAGUUUCUCAAAAUAGAUACUAGUUUCCGAAUGGCAUAGUAUAAAGAUAGAGUAUAUGUACGCGUUUGUGUAUGUACGGUGUUUCUUACGGGGAAAAAAGCUAUACUACCAACUGCAUUGUACAAUGCAAAUCUAACAUAAUGUAUACUGCUUAGAAAAUAUAAAUAAUUUUUCUUAUAAUUGAAUAAAUUCUUGAUGUACCCACUACUUCUUUCAUGAACCAUUUUAUGGACAAAAAAAUGCUCUAGAUAUUAUUCAUAUUAUAAAUUGUCAAAUUAUGAGCAAAAGUACAGAUUGUUGAUAACUAAUUAUAUUGUAACUUUGCAGCUAAGAAAACUAAUUAUAAAAAUUCAAUUUAAAUCGUAAAAUCGUUAUCACAAUGUAUGUGGACGUAAUAAUCAAUGAGGUUUGUAUUAGUUGCAUAAAUCAGUAUCAUUUGACAAUUUUUGUUCACUUCAAUCAUGCAACCUGCUCAUAUAAUUUUCUUAACUUAAUUUUUACAACUUUCUCAUAUAAUUUUUACAACGAUAUUAUUAAAAUGACUCCAGCUGACACCGAGGUCCGGCAUGAAAGGGAGCAACUUCACAAUCUACAAUAGAAAGUUGACAAAAUGAAUACUACGUAAGACAUUCUUUAAUUAUUUAAAGGAGCAAAAUAAAAGAGAUUAAUAUUGCUCCGCUGGUUAUUAAAUCCCCAUAAGAUGCCAAAAGAUGGCCCGAAAGACCCAACAAACGGACUUCACACCUGAGUAUAAACAUUUUUUGUGUUAAUAAAAACAACAAAACUCUUGUUAUUUUAAAGGGCAUGCACCAACCAAGUAUAUGAUUCUUACCUCAGUACGAUCACCAUACUCAUGAUAGACCUGCCCAAAAAAUUUCAAAUACCAAAUCGAUGAAGGAAAUUGGGUUGACUGAGGUAUGAGGAGGAUUCCUACUGGGACUUGUGCUUUGAACCUACUUGGGGUAAAUUUCCAGCCCUAUAUCUGCCAUGUAUAUAAGGACGAAAGGGAUUGCCCAAAAUGUCAUCGUCUAUUAUCGUAGUUCCAAAGCAUAGAGCUAUAUUGAUGAGUUUUGAUCUGUACUCGUUACUCGUAAAAUCAAUAGAAAAAACGCAUGAAGUAUGACUUUACCACCAGAGUGAGGGGCCAACCUGGGUAUAUCGUGUUCACCUAAUCUCAAGACCCCGGUAAAUCUACGUCGCUGGUAGUUCAACCCUUUGUUAACCACCUCGAUGGCAUAUGCCGUGAAGAUACCACGUCACUUUUACACGAGAAAUUCAUACACUAGGCAAAGUUGCAAAGAAUCAAGAGAAUCAACUCUAACAUGUAACCUAUUAAGAAAAAAAAAGUGUUUUUGCAGUACCCCGGUACUCCAAAAAUAUACCUCGGAGUACCAAGCAUAUCUAACCGUUGGUACCAAAGGGCAACUUAGUCAUUUUGCGGAGGGUAAUUUGGUCUUUGCCCUCGUAUUGCCCCGAUCGCUUCGUCGAGCGCAGCAGCAGUGCCGUCCCUAGCCCGUCGAUCGACCGUCAUCAUCUCCCUCCGCUCACGGGGCGGACAGCCUCUUCUCUGUGCGGUGGAAAGCGCCUCACCGCCGUUCCAAUCGAUUCGCAACGCCACACGGCCUCGCCGCCCUUCCAAUCGAGGCACCGCACGGCCUCCAGUCGUCCGCCGUCAAAUCACGGCGUAGUGCCGCCCCCGAUGCCGUUCCAAGCGAGGCGCAUCGCUGUCUCCAGCCGCCGCCGUGCUAUCGAGGCGCAGCGCCGCCUCAGCCGCCACACCACCGUUCGUCGCCCCAGCCCUCGAGCAGCUGUUCGGCCCCAAGCUGCCUCCCGUGUGAGAUCAAACCUGCUCCCAGCCGCUGCCAUCCAAUCGAGCCACCGGCCAAAACCCAACCACGCCAGCGUUCGCCGCCCCUAGGCACGAUCUCACGAUGCUGCCAGCCCAAAUCCUCACUUGAUUACGAUUUCCUUUUUUUAAUUUGAAACCAAAAUCCAGUUCAGCACACGAAAGUUCCAAACUAACCUCACGUGAUUACGAUUUUGCCCUCCAAGUCGAGGUACUCCGGUGUUUUUCGACUCGGUACUCCAUAAAAUUAAAGAUGGAGUACCAAAUAAUACUAACCACUAGAUCGGUCCAAAUAAAGGGACUAUAUUAAAUCCGGGGUAUCGUAAAAGAGCUUAAAAAAAAACUCUAACAUGUACCGUUAUUAUAUUUUCCGCACAAGAGGAUGGAUACUUCAGUUUGAAGCAGCAGCCCCGUCCACAUUGCACAUUACAGCUAGGGCAAAGAGGGAGUCUUGGGCAGAUAGCGAGGCAGCUGCUAGGCACCAAUGCCGGCCGGCCGUGCACAAUCUUUUAUUCAGAUAUCGCUGACAACAACAAGCGAAAUGCUGGCUGCCAACAUAUCUCAGCCUCUGUCCCUGUCCCCCACAGGCCAAUCUCCGAACACAGAGCCCCUUAAUUAGUUGCACUCGCACUUCACCAUCUCCAUCUUCCAUCGUCAAACCUUCGCUCGGAUCGAUAACUACCAGUUGAUCAAUCCCCGGCCAACGCCAAACCACUCUUCGAAUUUCACAUCAUCAUCGAUCGUGGUGGAGUGAGUGGAUCGUAGGCUCGUAACCAGGGAGCUACUAGCAACAUGGAAGACGCCGAGACCGGGAGAUCGCCAGGGGCGGCGCCGGCCAUGAUGACCUCGUCUUCCCCGGCGCCGGUGCCGGCCGCGUCACGGCGGUACUACGAUUGCGUGUUCUGCAAGCGCGGGUUCACCACGGCCCAGGCGCUGGGCGGCCACAUGAACGUGCACCGCCGCGACCGCCCCAAGCCGGCCGCCGCCCCCGACAUCGACGCGCCCACGGCCACGGGGUGCUACAUGGCAUACCCCUGGCCCUCGGCGCCCCCGCCGCAGCCACCGAUGAGAUGUGGCGGCAGCAGCUUCGUGCUCUCCGGGUUGCGCUGCGCAGGGAACAACGCGGAGGUGGCCGUGUGGCCUGCCGCAGCAGCUGCAGCAGGUAGCAGCCCUAGCCCGAGGCCGAGGGAGCUGAGCCUGUUCGGCGCCGACAACGACGACGACGACGGCCAUGAUGAUCACGACUUGCGACUGGGCCUUGGGUGCCAUGGGAGCGGGUUACGCUCACCGGAGGAAGGGCCAGAGCCGGAGAGGAAUAUGCUGGACUUGGAGCUCAGGCUCGGGCCUCGUCCAAGACAUUGAUCGAUCAGUCGCAUGCAUGGUAGUGCAACUUCACCUUAUAUGCACUGCAUGGUUUUUUGUUUGAUGAAUAUGCACUGCUGCAUGCUUGAUAUUGUCUGUCAGCACUUUAAUUUUGCCUGUGUAAUUAUAUGUACUGCAUUACAUGCCCUGUUAAUACGACAAUUGCAGACAAGCGUACGUAUUAUGGAUUUAUGGCUAGCUUUUUUAUAUUGUUUGUCACAGCGCUUUAGCACAAAAGUUUUACUGCACGCGGUGUCUCAUCCCGUCAUUCUAUGGACGCUUUGUUGCUGGUGUGCUAGCUAGCUACAUGAAUUGCUUUGCUGUUUGAUCUCGUUAUUUGCUAUUUUCAUCUUGUCCGGCCUGCAUGCAUGCUUGUUCUCAACCUUACUAAAUGGCAGCAAAUCUUCGAAACAAACGAAUUUCUUACAGUAGUUGUUUACUCAUUAAAUUGCUAUAUUUUCGUCUCGUCCUGCAUGCAUGCUUGUUCUCGACAGUACUAAAUGGCCACAAAUCUUUGAGAUAGAGUAUGCUACGAGAAUUGUCUUAGAUCGAAUUUCCGGGCAUAAAUACUUCAUCUUUUGGAUUCACAGAGUCAUUUCCUUUUUGACAUACUAAGUCUCUGUUGGAAUCCGGGUUUAAUUUACGGAGUCCUCGAUCCUGUUUUCAUAUAUAGACUUGCGGACUUGCCUAGCUAUAUGCACGGUUACAAACAUGGGGAUACUACUGCAGCCACAUGCCCCCAAUGCGUGCAUGUAAUGUUCAUCGCAAAAGUUGUACUUGUAUAUAUGUAUGCGAUGCAGCCGCAAGCCCGCAGUGCAUAUAUUUUUAUGUGCAAUAUCCUCCACAAGAAUUACAGAUAUACCAGUUUCAAAAAGAAUUACAGAUAUAUCAAAUAUAUAUCUAUGUUAAGGAAUUGAGCAGUACAUGUUUCUAAUAUGUAUAAGUUAGCUUCAUUUGUGUUUGCUAUGAUUGUUUGGGCUGUUUGAACCUGAACCAAACAAUCUAAAAAUGCAUAUAACUAAAUUCGGGUACAAUGUUAUCCAAGGCUAGCUUUUCAAUGUUGUAUUGCUCCGUUAUCUUCUGCAUGCAGAUUGCAUAACCCGAAACUUGUUGCUUCGUGUGAUUCUUUUUAUGAUGCAUGUCUUUGUUGUUUAUCUAAGUGGGGUCUUCUGUUUCCUUAAAACAAAUUACGAAAACUCAUUCUGGUCUAUUUUAAUACAGGGAUAAAACUUGAUAUACUUAGUUUUUGAUGGUUAUCUAGUUUUUGAUGGUACUCUCGGCUAGAAUAUGUUCCCUAUGUUUAAAAAUCUGAUUGGCUGAUGAUUUAAAUUUAGCCCUUUUUCGGAGGCACUUUAGCCUUGAAGUCCAUAUAUUCUUCUCUAUCUUGCAUAUUUAGGUAUAUGAAUCCUUAAGUGUGUAUACCGAUAGUGCUAGCUAGCCCGUAAUAUUUCAAGUAAUUUUACUGCUGGUACUUUUAUAGUUUAUUUGACCCCUCUUGUAGCAUUGUUUGAUUCUCAUCACUUGGCCCUCCAGGCUCUGUUUCCUGACUCUACGAUUGUUCCCUAUAUCUUACACACAAAAACACAUGUAAUGCUUGGUGUCAACUUCUAUGUUGGUGGAAAAUGGUUUUGGCACAUCGAUGCACGUAUGAUUUUCUGAAACUUAACCAAUUUUUUUAAGUCCUUAAGAACUAAAGAGAAAUAUUCAUGCAAGUAGGUGAUUUGGAUCUAAUAAAUUACGACCGUUUGUGCAUGUGGUGCAAAACCACAAACUGGAUUUCUGUGCAACAAACUACAUAACUUAUAGAGUUGUCUUUUGUAGAUCACUUCCUUCGUUUCUGAACACUUGUCUUUUUUGAAUUUAUCUUGGUCGAACUUUUAUUUUUAUCUCUGACUAUGAUUUUGAAGUAAUAAUCAACAUCAAAUUCAUACUAUUAAAUCUUCACAAAAUCAUGUUUAAUAAUGUAUGAUUGUUUUUCUUUGAAGCAACAUGUUUCGAAAGAAAUUAAUGUUCGCAUUAUCACAUUAGAGACCUUACCAAUACUAUACUAAAUGACAAGUAUUUUAAAACAAUGAGAGUUAAUAUUUUUUAAUUUAUAUGCAGUUUGAAAGUGAUCAAAUACUUUUUAAACCAAAAUUUAUAGACAUGAGUUUCUACCCAAAAACCUUCAUGCGUGAACCUUUUCAUAAUUUAAAAAAAUAAAAAAAGUGAUUUUUACUAAGCUACAAAAUGGGUCUCCAUGUUUUAAAAUGUAGCUUCGGUUUAUUGGUAAUAUUUUUUUGUUAUUGAUGAUCUUGUUUUUUAUUGUGUGCAUCUUAAGAUAAAGAAGCUAGCCAAGACAAGUGUUCUCUUCCGUUUCUUUUAAUUCAACGGUUUUUGUUUUGAUCAUCUUGAUUGAUAUUUGUGCUACAUCAAUGGUAGAUCGUGUUAUAUACACAUGCCUUGACGAUGGGUAUGUUUUACGCAACGAAAUUAGCAGAACACCUACCCCCGUUGGCAAAACAAAUUCUGAAAUUAUUGCCAAAGGGUUCUUUCGGGUCGACCCCAUCGGGCUUGUUUAUUUCACCAUGCACGGAUGGGUUCCGAUGAUAGCUUCUCCGUUUUGUUCCACGGCAAGACGGUAUUCGUUUCGAAAGAGUUGUUCAUCCGGAACUUAUGAUUAUGAACCCAGAAAGAAUUACCUAUGAACAAUAUCAAAUCGAUAGCCAUAUUGUCAAGGAAUAUGGUACUUUCACAACAUAUAUAGGAGUAGAAUUGAUUUUCACAAAGCAACCAAGUCUAAAAAAAAUAGAAAACUGACGGUCAAACUAUCAUAUUGGAAAAACCGCGUCAGCUCUAAAAGCAAGCACUCCACCCUAAGCUAAGCACUCGCAAAGCAUUAAUACGGCAGUUGGUCCGACUUCACACGGGCACCACAGCGACAAAGACGGCUUUCGUUUCGUUCCCAGCACCAGGAGAAGCGCACGCGGAGGCCAGAAGCCACUGGAGACUGGAGCGAGCGCCCGGCCCCGGGUUGUCAAGUGUCAACCGGGAAAAAGCCACACGAGACACACAACCCUAACGCCGAACGGAAGCCAAACCAAAGAGAGCACCGGGGAAGAGGAGCCCAGCGGACUGCGGACGGACACCGCACCAAACCAAAGCGACCAGAAAAUUCUCUCCUCCUCGCACCAGCGCUGCUCUCCUCCUCUCCCCACCGAAAUUCCCCACAUCCGCCCCGCCGUCUUCCACCCCGUCCGUCUCCCCCGCCGGCCACCGCCAUGCGCAUCCGCAGGUACGCCGCGCGCCUGCUCGCCUCCUCGAACCCGGCGUCCGCCGCCGCGUCCUCGCCCCCGCCGCAGCCCGCGGCGCCCUGGUUCCACGCCGCUGCCGAUGACUGCGCCAUCUGCGAGCGCACCCGCUGCUCCGACUCGGAGGUACCUUUCCCUGCCCCCCCUUCCCCUCUCCCUCUCGCCCCGCUCCGCAUUACUCCGCGGCGUGGCGAUGCAGGGAACCGCUUCGUUUUGCCUCGGGUUCUAACGGGACGGUUCUGUGUGUUCGGCGGAAUUGCAGGGGGCUCCCGACGGGGUGAAGCACAAGGGGCACAUUGCCAGACUCACGCCGGAGGGCGAGCUCAAGAGCGAUGAGCGCAUCGGCGUACCUCGGUCGCCUCCUGUUCCUCCGGAAGGUGCGUGCCGGUGACACGCCACUAUUCCAUGAUUCGCUUUGAUAGUUAAUUCUAACUUGCUUCUGUUCUGGUUCCGUAAGGAGAAAUGUAUAAGUUGCUAAUGUGCUAAAUCCUGUCGUCUCGCUGUUUCAGAAAUCAUUCCAGCUCACGAAUGCAAGGUAGAUGACGAACGAUCUGCGAGUAAACAUGACGCCACACUGGAAGAAGUUGAAAUUGGAGCUUCUAGUGUUAGCUCAACUCCUGUUCCUCCGGAAGGUGCGUGCCACGCUGCCAUUCUACGGAUCACUUUGAUAGCUAAAUCCUACUAACUUGCUUCUGUUCUGGUUCCUAAGGACAAAUGUAUAACUUGCUAAUGUGCAAAAUCCUGUCGUUUUGCUGUUUCAGAAAUCAUUCCGGCUCAUGGAUGCAAGAUAGAUGACGAACGAUCUGUGGGUAAACAUGACGCCGCGCUGGAAGUUGAAAUUGGAGCUUCUGGUGUUAGUUCACCUCGUGUUCCUCCGGAAGGUGUGUGCCACGCUGCCAUUCUAGGGAUCACUUUGAUAGUUAAAUCCUGCUAGCUUGCUUCUGUUCUUGUUCUGUAAAGAUAAAUGUAUAACUUGCUAAUGCACAAAAUCCUGUGGUCUCCUGUUUCAGAAAUUAUCCCAACUCAUGAAUGCAAGAUCGAUGACGAACGAUCUGCAAGUAAAGAUGGCGUCGCUCUGGAAUUUGAAAUGGGAGCUUCUGGUGCUAGUAGAGCUGCUGCGAGACCAGAUGAUAUGGGGAAAACUAUGCUUGUCAAUGAAGCCGUUACUGAGCCAGCAGAUACAGGAGGAGCUUUUAUUGUUAAUGAAGAUACUGAUGAGCAGGAAGUUGGAGGGACAACUUCUCCUGUGAAUGCCUCUGUUACUGAACAGGAGGUUACUGGGGGAGCUUCUCUUGUGAGUGACUCGUUCUCUGAGCCAGAAGUUAUACGGGGAGUUUCCUUUGCUAAUGAAGCUACUACGAAGCAAGAAGUUUCGGAGAUAGUUUCUCUCGUGAGUGAGGCUAUAACUGAGCCAGCAGCUAUAGUCACUGCAUCGGAAGUUAUAAGGGGAGCCCCCCUUGAUGGCAAAGGCGAUGCAGAGCCCGAUUUGAAAAUGAGAGCUUCUCUCGUGAAUGAGUCUGCUUGUAAAAUGGAUGUUAAGCGGGUAUCUUCCCUUGUUUUUGAAGCUGUAACUCAUGCAGCACUCCCAGAAAGUGUUUCUCUUGUGAGUGAAGUUGUCACUGAGCCAGGAGUUAAUGGAGCUGCUUUCCACGACAAUGAAGUUUCAGUGGAACCAGAAGUUGCAGGUGGACCUUCUCUUGUAGAUGAAUCUACUGAACAGGCAGUAACAGGGAAAACUUGUGCUGUCAAGGAAGUUGCUGCAGAACCAGAUGUUGUUGGCGGGGCUUCUGCUUGUAGGGGAGAUGGCAAUGCUGAUUUAAAUGAGCAACAGCCUCCUGACUAUGAUCCAGAUAUUUCCAGUGUACAGGGUGAAAGUGCAGGAGAGGGUGUCGCCAGCGAAGUGCAGCCUUCUAGAGACCAUGAAGCAGAUACCAUUCGUUCUGUAAACACCAGGAACAGUGAACCUGUUGGAGACAAGAGUCCAACUGGUGAGGAAGUAGCACCGCACGAUGACACACCCAGUGUUUCAUGUGUAUCAGAUAUUUUAGCUAGAAGCGUUGGGAAAUCAGGGAGAACUGAUAUCAUAUGUUAUGCUAGGCGCAGGGGUAAAAGGAAGCUAAAUAUUGUGGAGAUAAAGAGAAAACAAAUUAAAAUGGAUGAUGGUGCCAUCUAUGAUCAAAAGGCGGCACUGGAUAGAAUUGCUCCUCGCCUGAGUAAAAUGCCAACAGCUGGAUCUGCAGAAAUUAAACUCGCCGACAUAAAGAGAGAACUUAUAGACAAUUCAGCCUCGAGCAAGGGUAAACAGAGGAAGAUGCGACCAUUUGAAUGUGACGUUGAGUAUUGCCGCAUGACAUUCAAAAAUAAGGCCGAGCUUUCUCUCCACAAGAAGAACAUGUGCACGCUCAAGUCAUGUGGCAGACAAUUCAGAGCCCACAAGUAUCUGAAACGCCACCAGAAGAUUCACGAUUGUGAUACUCCUUACAAGUGCCCAUGGGAGGGUUGCAGUAUGGCUUUCAAGUGGACAUGGGCUCUGGCAGAGCAUUUCCAAGUUCAUACAGGAGAUAAGCCAUAUAAAUGCAAGACGCCUGGGUGUGGCCGGAUAUAUAAGUUUGUUUCGGACUUCACCCGGCAUAGGAUGAGGUGCAAACCUCAGAGGUAAAAAACUUGCUUAAUUUUGAAGAGUUAGGGUAGGAGUAAAGCUUGUGCUUGCUACUGUAGAUGGUUUUAUUAUUUGCUGGAAGUUCCUUCACUGAAUUGUUCUGAGUUCUGACAACUUAUAGUGGGAUUGUUCGUUUCUUUAUUGAAGUAAAAAUGUUACAAUCUUUAGUUUUUAGUUUAUAAACGGCGAGCAUGUGUUUCAUGAACAUUGGUGUACAUUUCCAAAAACGGAUUGAUGUUAUGCGCAUUGUUUCUUCUUUACAGUUGUGAUGUCUGUUCUUUUGUUCGUUUUUGGACUAUUAGUUCCAUGCUUAUCCAUCUAUGGAUUUACCUGCCUAAACGUUUGCACCAAACUACAAGAUAACCUGUUUAUUUUGCCUAGUUGACGACCUAAUUUGAGCCAUUUAAGGUUAUAUUCCUGGAUAUCCAACAAGCCUCCAAUCUGUUCAACCAUCAACUGUUGUAAUGGUUGCACUUCCAUUAUGAGCUUUGAAAAUCUACUGAUGUGGCUCUUUAUUUUGAAAUGAUUAUUCUGUCCAUGAAGAAAAACUACAUAAAUCAGAAAGCAAUGUAUGGUAUCAACCAAACUGUUAAUGACUGCAACUUCUGUAGAAUCCGUGCCCUUUCAUCUGGUAAAGAGCAGGCACAGGAGAUACUUAGAUUAUUAUGCGUUGAAAUGUAUAGUUAGUUUUAUUCUCUAACUGGGGUGUGUGCACUGUUUAAGCUUAUGAUACUCGAGAGUAUAAUUAGUUCUAUGACUAGUAUGUGAACUGUUUUAAGCUUUUGAUAAUUGCAGCACUUGCAAUCCACCCAUUUGUUCAUGUGUUGCCAUUUGUCUAUGUGUUGGAAACAUGCACCAAAUUUGCUUUCAAACAUUAAUUUGUUAUUUUUCUUGUUAGCAAUGUACGUAGUAGAAAUGUGCAUACUAUACGUUUUGUUUGCCUUACAAUUAUUACUUUAUUAGUGAUCUACUCUACCUGGUUUCUACAGAAAGUCAGGAAGGUAAACUUGGUGCUUUUCGUAGAUUCAGCUAGCUUGGGAAAGCAAAACCUGUUUAUUUUGCCUAGUUUUCCACUUUGCCAUUCAAAGUUACAAUGAGAAGUUAUUGGAGUUCUAAAUCUUGUCCACAGCCCUUGGAUCAAAAUUAAGGAAUUAGACUAAUAAUUUUGGGACUGUCGAAAUGAACAGUAUCAUAGAGCUGGUGUUUGUUUCAUUGGUUUAGAUAUUCGUGGAUGUCCAAUAGUAGUUGUUUGAUUGUUAACAGCUGUAAUGUUUGCACUUUCAUGACAGCUUUGAGAAUUAAAUAUCGUGGCCCUCUAAUUUAAAGUGCUUCUAUGCCCCUAAAAGAAAAACUACAUUUAUCAUAAAGCAAUGGAUGGUGGUACGAAUCAAUUGUUGCCGCAACUUCUUUUGAGUCUGUGCCCUUUCAUAUGGUGAAACACAUCUGCACAGGAGCUACAUUUAUCAUUCUCUGACUGCGCUCUGUGCACAGUUUGGCUUUUGAUACUACCUGUAGCACCACUUCCAAUCAACCGAUUUGUUCCUUGUGUUGGGGCUUGCACCAAAUUUUCUCUGACACAUACAUCUGUUCGUUUGUUAGUGAUCUAUCUGGUGCUUCCAGAGUGUCAGAAAAUGCAACUUAUAGUGCUUUGGUGGAUUUCAACUUCCUUGAAAAAUUUAAAUCCUAUGCUUGCAUCUCAGCAGUACAUGGGCACAGUGUACGAUUUCCUUUGUUGGAAAAAUAAAUAAAUAAAAGGAACGCUUUGAUUAAUACUCCCUCCAUCCAGAAAUACAAGGCCAAUUUUGGGGAUAACAAGAACCAAGGAAAAAUCCUCGUGAGUAGUGCUUGGUAGUUAUGAUUUUUGGUUUUGCCAAUGGAAGAGCUGAAUUUUCUCUUGUCGUGAGGAGCAUUUAAGUUAUGCAUGCAUGCACACCAAUCAACAAUUAUGAUAUGAGUUACGAGGAGAUUUUUGUGCUAGGGAUGCGGGAGGGAAGGUAAUAAACUAACUCAAGAAGCAAAGUGGCCUUGUAUUUUGGAAAUCUCAGAUUUGGGAUUUGGCCUUGCAUUUCUGGAUGGAGGCAGUAUAUCUCUGGCAAGAAUAUAGCUAUGUCAAGAUUAUUUCUUUUUGAGAUAAUACAUGUUGUCAUCACGAGAAACCUUAUAAAGAGGGCGUAUCAAUUGAGCUUUAGUUAGGGAGACAUGUUAUAAUGCUAGCUAGUGUCAGGAUAGGUAAAGCCGUAAAGGUAAGACAUGCGUAUAUGGCGACUAUAGGGGGGGGGGGUCAUUUUAUACUUGUGAGAGUCAGACACCGAUGUGGUUUAAUUAGGUUUGGCUGCAACUCAUCCAAUUGAGAGGGGCGUAAUCCUGCUAAGUGGCGGGACCUUGAGCAUGAUUAAGUUACUCGAUGCGGGGUAAUCUGAAAAUCCAUCGACACAUGACAAGCUUCCUUUGGGACUUCUCCCGCAGCCAAUCCUGGGAGAAAAGUUCCUAUCGUGGCCAAUCACGAGAGCCAAGAGGGAUCACUUCACGAUAUUUAUCACGUCAUCGGAAGAUCCAUUGACACUAUGCGAAGGGUAUGUCUGGUGGUGGCUAAAGUCUACCCUACCAAAAUUUUGGUCAUGACCAUAACUUUGGUCCUUGUUUGGAUGGGAGCAAGUUUUUUGGCAAGCUAUUGCCUCACUGCCAACUCUAAAUCAUUUUUCUUACCAAAACUGGCCAACCCAUGGGCACUCAAAACCUUCACCAAAAUAUUUGUUAGCCAAAUAUUUCGUAUGGCACACAUGGGCUCAAACCAAACUUACCCGAACUUCCCGGAUGACUCUUCUUUCUGGGGCCAAUUGUGACAGAAAGUUUCCUCUCUCAACCAAUCGCGGGAGGGACUCUUUGUUCCGUUUGACCUUAUUCUUCUAUUCUUCUAUCUUUCUUCUGCUGGUAGCAUUUGGGUUUGGGUAUCACUGUGGGAUAGCAGCCCCCCAUCGAAGCCAAUUUUCUCUCUUACAACAGAAGCCCCCUUGACCUGUAGGUGCGUUGAUGAUGAACACCGUGUGAGUAAAGGUUAUGUGGGACUGGAAGUUGCAAGAGGAGCUUCUGUUGUUAAUGGAGACACCAGAUGAUACAGAGGAAACUACGCUUUGACGUAAAGACGCUACUGAGCCGGCAGUUCCAGGAGGAGCUUUUAUUGUUAAUGAAGAUACUGAUGAGCAGGAAGUUGGAGGGAUAACUUUUUGUUUGAAAGGCUCUGUGACUGAACUGGAGGUUACUAGGGGAAGCUUCUCUUGUGAAUGGCUCUGUCACUGAACUGGAGGUUACUGGGGUAGCUUCUGGCGUGAGCGGAUUGUUUGCUAAGCCAGAAGUUAUAAGGGGAGUUUCUCUUGCUAAUGAAGCUGCUACUCAGUGAGAAGUUCCAGGGUGAGUUUCUCUUGUGAGUGAGUCUACAACUGGGCCAACAGCUAUACUCACUGCAUUGGAAGUUACAAUGGGAGCUCCCCUUGAUGACGAAGUAGCUGCAGAGCCGAAUAUUAAAUGGUAGCAUCUCUUAUGAAUGAAUCUGCUGCUAAAAUGGAUGUGAAAUGGACAGCUUCCCUUUUUUUGAAGCUAUGACUCAUCCAGGACUUGCAGACAGAGUUCCUCCUUGGAGUGAAGUUGUCACUGAGCCAGGACUUCUCACUGUCACAGGUGGACCUUCAUUUACUGAACUAGAAAUUACAUGGGAAUCUUAUACUGCUAAGGAAGUUGCUGGCAUGGCUUCUUCUUGUAGUGGAGAUGGUGAUCCUGAUUUAAAUGGGCCACAGCCUCUGGAUUUUGUUCCAAACAAUUGCUAAUGUGCAGGUUGAAAAUGCAGGAGAGGGUGUUGCCAGCAAAAUGCAGCCGCCUUACAGGACCAUGCAGUUGACGCUAUUGGUUCUGUAGAUACCACGAACAGUGAUCCUGUUAAAGACAAGAGUCUAACUGGUGAGGAAAUAGCACGCUCAGUGUUUGUCUGUAUCAAAUAUUUUGCUACAAGCGUUGGUCAAUCAGAGAUAACUGAUAUGAUAUUAUAUUUUAUGCUAGGCGCAGAGGUAAGAGGAAACUGAAUAUUGUGGAGAUAAAGUCAGAAACAAAUUGGAAUGGAUGAUGGUGCCAUGAUGCCAUCUAUGAUCAAUGUGAGGAAAAGGCGGUGCUGUACAGGAUUGCUCCUUGCAUGAGAGCAUUGUCAAAAGCUGAACCUGCAAAAAUUAAACUUGUGGACAUAAAGAGUGAAUUUAUAGACAAAAUUCAAUUCAACUUCAAGCAAGGGUAAAAAAGAGGAAGAUGCAACAAUUUGAAUGUGACAUAGAAUACUGCUGCAUGACAUUCAAUAAAAAAGCCGAAGUUUGUCUGCACACAAAGAACAUGUGCACUGUCAAGUCAUGUGGUAGACAAUUCAGGACCAAUAGGUAUCUGAGAGACAAAUCACAAUGAUGACACGUCUUACAAGUGCGCAUGGGAUGGUUGCAGUAUGGCUUUCAAGGAAACAGGGGCUCUUGCUGAGCAUUUCCAAGUUCAUACAGGGAAAGACUAUAAAUGCAGGAUGUCUGGGUGUGGCAAGAUAUAUACGUAUGUUUCGUUCACCCGGCAUAGGAUGAGGUGCAAACCUCAGAGGUAAAAUCUUUCUGAAUUUUUCAGAGCAAGGGUAGGAGCAAAGCUUGUGUUUGCUUUUGUAUAUGGUUUUAUUAUUUGCUGAAGUUAUUGUGUUCAAUUGUUCUGAGUUCUGACGACUUAUGGUGAGAUUGUUCGUUUCUUUACUGAAGAAAAUGGUUAAUAAUGCUUUUCUUGAAUGUCGGUGUAACAUUUCCAGAAGCUGAUUGAUAAAUAUCCCUAUUGUUUGUUCUUUAAGGUAGUGAAUGGUGAUAUUUGCUCUACACAGUGAAUGAUAUAUCAAAUACAGGACUAGUAAAUACGAAGCUGAUUUUUACUUGGUUCAGGAAUAUUAUUUCCAUGCAUAUCCAUUUAUGGAUUUACCUGCCUAAACAUUUGGAGCAAAAUACAGGAUAUCCUAUUUAUUUUACCUAGUUUCAACUUAAUUUGAGCCAUUCUAAGGUCAUACUCCUGAAUAUUCUUUUGCGUUUUCUUGAGAUUUUGUUUUCCUGAAUAUCCAAUUAGCCUGGACAUUGUUCAACACUGCUGUAAUGUUUGCACUUUCAUGACGAUCUUUACUCAAAUAGUGUGGCCCUUUAUUUUUUAAUGCUUAUUCCGUCCUCGAAGAAAAAACUACAUAGAUAAGAAAGCAUUGGAUGGUAUCAACAUUAAUAGUAACUUCUUCUGAACCUGUGCCCUUUCAUAUGCUAAAGAACAGCUGCACAGGAGCUACUUAGAUUAUUAUCCAUUUAGGUGUAGUAUAAAGAAAGGCAUACAUGCUUGAUGCUUAUAGUUUAUUUCUAGUUCCAUUCCUUUUCUGCAUGCAGAGCGAAUACAGAUAAAAUUUCACAAAAUUUAUUGCAUCUAGAUUUUUUUUUAAUUUAAUGAAAACUAAGAAGUAUGCUUUUCAGAACAAAGCUACAGUAGAAUAUACAACGUAGAAAACACAAGAAACCACACAAUUGUUUGCAGAGGUUAAAAGCUAUGCGCAACAAUCAGGUGAUACACAAAGAUCCAGGGUUAAAAAUAGGGACAGCCCGACUACUUCUUUAUUAUAGGUCUCUCUUGAAGGGACGAACCCUAGAUGCAUAUGAGAGCGAGACCAGCACCAGUAUAGGCGUUCACACACAAUGACACAAAUCAAUAGUCAUAAGCAUGAAGGAACAAACCGAGUUGAAUCAGGAUCGGGAGGAUGUAGGCCAACCUGGCCAGAUCCCUACAAAGUACAACCAAUCUUUUUCCCGGAAAGGAGGUAUGGCCCUUGUCCUCUGCAUCGAUUGGUUCACGUAAUCAUAUUCAACCAAAUUUGAUAAAACAAAAACGACUUUUUUUUCUUGGCUGAAACCUUUUGAUGCUCACUGAAAUUACCAUAAUUUUAGAAGUGCCAGUGGAAUUUCAGCUGAGAACCCGAUUAUAAUUCAAGCAGAGCUCUGUGAGAAGUGGCUUUGGAAGAACAGAUGCUGGGUUCUUCAUACAUGUAUGGAACAUAACAGACAUCACCAAUUCAAUGGAUCGAAGCGUAAAUGAGGAUCCUCCUGCUGUUUUUGUCUAAAUCUAUCUGAUUGAAGUGCAUAUGAAUAGUAUGUGCAAUGGUUGUGUGCAUCCAAAGAGAUUGAAUUUCUUCUUCUUCAUUUCUAAAAAAUGAAAGAUGUCUGAAAUUCUAGUUCCAGAAGUACAUCGGUCCACACUCAGAGCCUCUGCUACUCAUGAUGAGGCACACAAACAGCUAGAAGUAAGAUCAAUGUCUUUGAAUUUUGCUCAUCAUCUAAGAAAUACAUUUACUUCGUGAGAAAUAGUAUCCUCAGGAAUCAUAUUUCUUUAUCCAUCUACCAGUGUAAGAGAAGUGAAGAAAAAAAAACUACAACAUAUGCAUACCAUUGUAUAUUCAUAUUCGAAACUGUUUGUGUUACUCAGACAACAGUAAAUUUCCGGAUACAUGUAUAUAUAUAGGACUUCUAUGGAAUUCUUCCUAGCUGCUAUCUAAUGAACACAUGCUUUCUAGGAAGGCCACGUGUCCCAUUUCAUAACUACAUAGAGUCGUAGACCCUAGCUGAAGGUGUAGAUUCAGCACCCACCAAUCGUGUAAUCCAUGCCUCCAUGCUUUUAAGAGAGGCAAUCUGAGAUUUUGCUUUUCUUUUCUUGAUUGCUCUAGAUGAACUUCCUCAAUUCAUGCAGGAGGUUGGUAGUAGAGCCAACUCCCUGUAAUCUUUACGUAUACUCCAUAGGAUCUCGGCACACCGUCUCAUGCUCGGUCUGUUCCUCUUUUUGGGUGCUAAGCACUGCAAUGCCAGCUCGUAUAUCUUCUCGACUGCUAGGUUAAUUGCAUCGGUCGCUUCCAGGUUUGGAUCCAGCGUUAAUAUCGCAUCCCCCUCAGCAAAUUUUUCCAUUGCCUGUGCCAACCAUAAAUGGACAUGCGUAGCAAAGCCAAAGAUAUAGCAAAUUGUCAAUAUAGCUGCAUAAAUCUUUAUUUCACGGGAUGUAGGAAACCCCUGAAGAUAUAAAGAUAAUGAUAGGAUCAUAAGGAUGACAAAAACUAACCCAUUUUGCAGUGACACGUUCAAUGAUGGUCCUCUUUGGAUCUAUGGGGCGCCUCCCAGUAACCAACUCCACCAGCAGCACCCCAAAGGAGUAGACAUCACUCUUCUCAGUGAGCUGGUAUGUUCUAAGAUAUUCUGGGUCAAGAUAACCUGCUGUUCCUUUCACUUGAGUAGAGACAUGGGUAGCAUCACUAGGAGCCAGUUUGGCGAAUCCAAAGUCAGCAACCUUAGCCCGGCAAUUGUUCGUGAGAAGAAUGUUCGAGGAUUUGAUGUCCCUGUGGAUGACCGGCUGAUCUGCAUGGGUGAGAUAUAUGGGUCAGAAUCUAAUUGAUAGUGAUUUGGUGGUUCUUCAAAACUCAAGAGUCAGUGAUUCACACUCCAGUAUAGCUAUGUCAAACAAAUGCAUAUGCUCCAGCAUCUGCGGAUUUUCUGGCAGCGCCAUUGUUCAUAGUUUCCCUUUUUGAAUCGAGAUAUUUAACCCUUUUUCUUGCAGUCCAGACUAUAGUUCCUGUUAUGACGAGUCUCCUGUCACCAAUAUAGUUCUAGUCAAUUUGGUUUGGAGAGUUGAAUCCCAGUUAAUGUAGGCUUAUUCUUAACAGUACUAGGAAAUAUCCUAGGCCUGGGUUGUUGUGAUAACAGUUCCACAAAUGUUCAACACAGGUUUUAGCUAUGUCUUCCUUGUCAGAUUAAGCAAACAACACAUAACCACAGUAUGUUUUUUUCUUAAGGAUUCUGCAUAAACAUGUCUGACCUAAAUAAAAGAAGUGCUACAUUAAAUUCUUAGUGACAUUGCACUAGUGUUAUCUUUCGGGGUUACAAAGAAGUAUUAACUAUCACUCUACCAGAAGUUUCAGGGACCAUGGCCGAAACUUUUCAGGUGCAAGAACAAAACCACCGAAAUAUGACAAAAUUUGUCGAAAUAACCUGACAAAUUUGAAAGCAAAUUCAAGUGAAAACACAUAUAAGAAAUAUAGAUAUUACCAGAGUAGGUGUGAAGAUACGUAAUAGCGUGAGCCACGUCAAUUGCAAUUUCCAAUCUCACAGAAAACUCUAGAAAUUUUCCAUUUAGACCUGCAGAUGUCUAAACUCAUUAAGAUAUAAUUAGCAAAAAAAAUUGCAAUUCUCUUACAAAGGAGGAACAGGGAAGACCAUAGGAUCCUUACCUUCCAGAUGUUCUCGAAGAUUGCCAUUGGGAACAUACUCCACAAUGAUCAACUGCUCACCACCAUACUCAAGGAACCCAUGAAACCUAACCAAAUUCAGGUGUUCAAUGCAUCGCAAUGUCUCUAUCUCGUUCCGGAACUCGUGACCCAUGUGCUUGUCAUACAAAUUCUGGAAUGAAAGGAAAUCAACACAGACCUGUAAGAAUCACCAGAUUAUGCAAAGUGAACAUAAGAAGUAACAAGUACAAACCUUCUUAGCCCGUUUGACAGCAACGAGGGUGCCAUCACUGAGCUGACCUCUGUAUACUGUCCCAGAACCACCCUGCCCAAUCUUCAGGUUGGGCGAGAAGUUCUUUGUUGCUUUCUGGAUCUCUGGCAAUGAGAACUUUCUGUCUCCAGGUAUCUCCCUUUCUGAAGAAUUCCUAUGAAUGGGGCCAUACAGUCCUCUAGUUGAUCUCUUGCUCUCAAAAGUGCUUCCACUGCUAGAACCUUGAGAGCUUAUGGACUGCGAGACUGUAAAUUUAGAAGAAGUGUCAUAUCUGAACUUGCCAGAAAACAUAAUGAUGAUUCUUGCAGCAAAGAGUUAUUUUAUACUGCCUCCGUUUCUAAAUUAAGGUGUUCUAGUUUUGUCACAAGUUAAACUUAGACCAAAUUUAUAGAAAAAUAUACUAAUAUCUACGGUAUCAAAAUAUCAAAUAAGUAUACUAUGAGUCUAUGAAGAUAUAUCAUGAAGGAUUUAAUAAACCUAAUUCAGAUUUGUAGAUCUUUUGGUAGCUUUUUCUAUAAACUUGGUCAAACUAGGACAAAGCUAGAACAGGGGAGUACUAUCGAGUGAAUCUGACAGUACAGAUUCCAGGAUGUGUCACUGGGGCAUUAUUAUCAGUAAUAUGAACCCUUGAUAUUCUCCACCAAACAGAUAACGAAUUAAUACCUUCUGACGGUGUUUGUUUACAGUACAGUAACUCUUUUUUUUUAAUUACCAAGAUGGGUUGGUUCUGACCAUGAUCAAAUGGGGACAAAUGGAGUAGAAACAGAUAUAAAAACCAUAAAAGUACAAACUGAACGAGGAUGUCACAGACGUCUGAUUAAACUAAAGCUCAAGAGGAGAAUGCGACAUUUUUCUGCAGACAUGCUACAAACCACGAAGAAAGCUAAUCUAAGACCAGAAACCAAACCAUGUAAUUAACGAAAUACUUACAUCACACGGUGGCUCUUUUUCCAGCAGUGGUACACUAACUUACAGUAGAUAGCACUACAAAGAUUGCACGCGUUGACCAGGCAGAGUUGACGAACAACAUACAGUAGUUUUUUUUCUUUUUCUUUGAAGGACUAGUUUGGACGAGAAAAAUACAGCACGCAUCUUGGAUCAAAAGGGGCACUGCAAAAGCAGUAGAAGAAAUGGAGUAGACAAGAAGGCGUAAUUAACAUGCGCACGUACGUUGGCGGGAGGGGUGGAAGUCCUCGGACAAGGAGGUAUCCGGCGAGCGGGCCUCCGCGGGGGAGAAGCAGGACCGGAAGGCGUCGAGGAAGGCCGCCCCGCGGCCGCCGUUGGCGGAGCGCUCGGAGGCGGCGGGGGCGGAGGAAGAGGACGACGCCGCGGUGGCGACGGAGAAGCGGGACAGGUCGCCGCUGCUGGCGCGGCCGCCGUGGUAGUCGCUCGUCCGCCUCCUCCUCCCCCCGCCGCUGCUGGUGCUGCUGCUGCUCCUCAUCGCCCGCGGCAGGCGGCAGGGCCCCGAAAUCGAUCGCGUGGCGAGGCGGCAGCCGCGUGCGCGAAACGGGAUUGCGGGACUUGGUUCUGCUGCUGCUGGUGGUGCUGUGGAAAGCGGCGGUUUUGAUGACACGAUCGGGACGGGGAAGGAAGGAAGGAGAAGCCGAGAAGGGUUAGUUUAAUUCUUCUUCUCCGAGCGCGUGUUGAGGGCGUCAGGGUGGACUGGUUCAGGACUCUGGACUUCGCGUUGAGUGCAGCUGCAGUGCAAAAGGGCCCGCAAAGACUAAAGAGAGAGCCGAUUGAAUUAUUACACGUGGUUGGAAAUUUUUGAACAUCUUUCCAAAAAAAAAAAAUCUACUCCAAAUUUUGUAUAUUUGAUACUGUAGUAGAUAAAAGUGGACUAUUACUACUUAUUUGAUACUGGAGUAUAUUGUAUCGUGAACAAAGUUCAUCUUAAAAAAACAUGUAUGAUCAUUUACGCACUCUGUAAAAAAAGACAAGUGUUGUUGGUGCUAUCGUUGUCUUGCCUGUCAGCACCCGGUUCACCAGAAGGUAGGACAAGCAUUGCCGUGCGGAACAGGGAAGAGAGACGCCGGAGUAGUGCCAAAGUCAAGUCGACCAUUUUUGGUUCUUGAUUCAUUCGUUCAACCGACACGCGCCUUACCUUACCCUUCACCGUCCUGCAAUGGCAGGUGGGCCGACUCCAGCGUCAUGGGGCGGCAAUUCAAGUUGCAGCAAGCGUGGGUCAGACCAGAGACCAGACUGCAGGCAGCUAGAGAAGCGAUCGACCGGUGAGUGAGUGGUCGCCGGUCAACAGCAAGUCGGCAGCGACCGGCGAGGCCACACACGCGUCCUUCUUCGCUCCGUUAAAGAUCAAACGACCAUCAUCAUCGUGGUGCCUUCGCGAAAAUUCCUCCGUCGUGGCAGCGCAAAUAUCGCCGUUGCAUUGUUCAUUCUCUCUUCCCUGCGUGCAUGGUGCUGACCGAACGGAUGAAGUCGCGGUGGCCAGGCAGGCCACUGUGGCAACUCGACACGACAACGGCAUGGUCGCGGCCAUGCCAAGUCGUGCCGCGUGCCCGCGUGGGGGCAUCGUCACUGAGGCCGCCGCCGGCCCAAGGACGCAAGCAAUGAUUCGGGACUGAGUACAGGCUAGUGGCAAUACAGAAUUACCAAGGGUUGGACCGCACUACUGUGCGUGUAUAAAUAGCUGCUGACAAUGGUAGUUUAUCAGAACACGAAUGUACAAGGUGCAAUAACCACCGUCCGAUGUCUUUUUAGAUAGGACUAUCGCUAUGCCAUUUCUCAAUCCAUCAUGGAGUACGGUUCCGACUAAUCUUUUCAGAACUUGAAUGAACAGAUUGUGUUGAUCACCGACAAUCGUUAACAACAUUCACCCAUAUACUCACUGCAUAGUAGGGUACCAUCUGGAGCAUUUAUUGAAAAGGCAAAAAACCUGUUUCAAUUCAUCAACUACUCCCUCCGUUUCAUAUUAAAUGACUCAAAUUUGCCCAAAUAUGAAUGUAUCUACGCCCAAAAGGCAUCUAUGGGACGGAGGAAGUACGAUUUUAAAACACAUACUCCCUCAAUCCCAUAUUAAGUGUCAAAACAUUACAUGUAUCUAGACGCUUUUUAGGUAUAGAUACAUCCAUAAUUGAACAAUUUUGAGACACUUAAUAUGAGAUGGAGAGAGUACAAGAAGCACAAAGAUAUUGUUAAUCAAAUAUUUUUAACAUGCCGUCGCUAUUUGUCGCACUUUGGUUUAUUUUUGUUGUCAAUGCUGACUAACUCAUGACAAGCAAAAAAUCUUGGCAAAAUUUUCGCUACAGUUUUUUUUGUGGGACAAAACAUGCUGAAAUCAGGUUACAAAAUACGAUAGCUGGUUUGGCACCCAUCAUUUGGAUAUAGAAUUGUAGAAUUCAUUUUGAAUUCCAAAAAAUAAGAAUUAGCUACAGGAAUUAAUCACAAAUUUCAUGAAAUCACACUAUAACUAGUCUCAAUUUCUCUCCAAACACAAUCAUUUCUUUAGAAUUGUCUCUCACUCUUUAAUUCCAUGAGGUAGACAAACAUGAUUUUUCAACCCGAAAUUCAAGUUCAACCAAUGAAAUCAUAUCAAAAAAUUGUUCAUUUCAUUUUGAUCAAUGAAAUGAAUUCUUAGGUGUCCAACGAGCCGUAAGUUUUCUUGUGUUUCUUUGAUGUUACCGUUUGGACUGCUUUUUUGAGAAGCUUGCUGGAAGCCUCGAACUGCUGUCAAAAAAAAGAAAAAAAAAAGAGAGAAGCUUGCUGGAACCAGGAUUAUUUUUUGGCCUUCUGCUCUACCCUAACCCCAUUUCCCUCUUUCCCCCGUUCGGCCGUUCCCAUCGCGAGCGACUGGAGACUCGAGUGAGCUAGUGUUCGCCGCAGCGUGCGUCCCCGGCGGCCGCUCCCUCCCCUCCCUUCUCGCGCCUCGCAGCCCCUCAAGUAGCUACCCGCCUCUCCUGCAAGUCCCGGGCCGACCAGCACCGCUCUCUCGCCGCCUCCCCACGCCGCCCCUCGCCGUCGGACUGCAUCUCCGCCGGGCCCCCAUCUCCAGAUCCGCGCGUCCCCAACCUCCCUCCGCCAGCCGCCGCCGUCGGGACCCCGACAUCCAGCCGUGGCCGUCGGGAACUUUCGCUAACCAAAAUCCAAAAUCAGUCCAUCCGAUCUCCAACCUACUUCCCAACUAGACCUUGGGCUUUGACCAGUCCCGGCGUAUCCAUCUCCCACCCGAGAAACCCUAACCAGAGGAGAGGAGACCAUGAGGGGGAAGAAACCGCUCAAGGAGCUCAAGCUCUCUGUGCCGGCGCAGGAGACAUCCGUCGAUAAAUUUCUGUAGGUCUCCUCGAUUCCUUAGCCUAAAUUGUCUGUUUAUGACCUGUUUGCCUCUUUUCCCCCAUAGAAGCUAUCGAGGGGUUGAGCUUUUAAUACGUUUAUUGUGUGUCUAGACAUGUUUCGGAGAUAAUAUUGUUUCGUUCCUGGCCUAGAUGGAUUCUUUUCUAUGCCAUCUUACAUUGGUUUUGUUGGUAUAGUUUUGAAUUGUGAUGGAGCUCGUAAGCCCAUCAGUCCUUUGCUGGAGCAUAGCUUUACUUAGGAUGUAUUCAAGUCUACUGCUUAAUUUGAACCUGGUAUGUUUGAGUUGCUGAGCCGACUCUACAAUUUGUGUGUCGACGCAUGAGUGAUCCAGCUGCUAUUUGUGGUUCCUGAUCAUGCAUUAUUUUGUUUAAGUUCCAUCGUGGAUUCGACCUUUUUUUGUCAGUAGUAAUGCGUAAACGGAAUCAUUGUCUUUGACCACUGGUGAUCUUUCAGGACGGCGAGUGGCACAUUCAAGGAUGGAGAACUGCGACUUAAUCAAAGAGGUUUGCGGCUGAUCUCCGAGGAGGAAAACGGAGAUGAACAUGUGAGUUCUUGGUUCAGUACUCUGUUAGUCUGCUUACUAAUGAUUACUUUUGUUGUUUGUUAGCCAGUCCAAUUAUGUUACUGUUGUAUUGUACUUUGACUGUUACGUGGCAUUCAACCAGCCAUACAUUGAUUCGGCGCACUCAGAGGGGCAAAAAACGUUUUUCUAAGAUUUUGAUUGUACUCAUACAUGUACUACUAUACAUUUAACAUAAUUGGACAUAAGUUGUUUCUGGAAUCUGAUUGCAUCUUGAUUUGUUUAUUCUCCCAGCAAUCAACAAACAUGAAGGUGGAAGAUGUGCAGUUGUCAAUGGAUGACCUCGAGAUGAUUCAAGUCAUUGGUAAGGGAAGUGGUGGCGUCGUCCAACUCGUGCAGCACAAGUGGGUGGGCACAUUUUAUGCGUUGAAGGUAAAAGUGCACCAAAUCCAUCUAGUGGAUACAAAUGCCUAAGAUGAAUUUUUUGUUGUUGACGUUAGAGCAUUGCAGUAGAAGGGGAGCCUUGGCGCAGCGGUACAGCUGUUGCCUUGUGACCAUGAGGUCACGGGUUCGAGUCCUGGAAACAGCCUCUUGCAGAAAUGCAGGGAAAGGCUGCGUACAAAAGACCCAAAGUGGUCGGACCCUUCCCCGGACCCUGCGCAAGCGGGAGCUACAUGCACCGGGCUGCCCCUUUUUUUGACGUUAGAGCAUUGCAGUAGACUGCUAGUUUUCUCCUUCAUGGUACUGAUUAUAUACAUAUCCGUUUUUUCAUGUUUGUUAAUCAAUCUUCUUAUAUCUGUUUAAAUGAAUUCACUAGAUGUUGUAUGUUAUGACAAUCAGAUUAUUCUAUGUCUGAAGACUUAGUUGUUUUGUUUAGUCAGCUUUGUGAUGGCAUGGUAUGAUCAUAGUAUAUUCAAUUAAGUCCACACUGAUGCACACAUGAAAAUGUGAUGUAGCAAAAGCAUCUAGUACUGGCUGGUCUUUACCUGCAAAAUCUAUACGAAACACUAUUUUUAUGAAAACUGAAGCUAAUGAAUGAGAAUACAUCAGGUGACAAUAUUUAGGCGCUUAGAGCCUUGAACAUUUUUAGGCGUCUUUGUACUGCAGUUGCAUUUGAUCGGCCAUAUGAUCUAUCAGUUAAUUGACUAACAUUGCAAUUUCUUCAUAGGGCAUUCAAAUGAACAUUCAGGAGGCAGUUCGCAAACAAAUAGUACAGGAGCUCAAAAUAAAUCAAGCAACACAGAGCCCACAUAUAGUUUCUUGCCAUCAAUCGUUUUACCACAAUGGUGUAAUAUAUCUUGUUCUAGAAUACAUGGAUCGUGGAUCUCUUGCAGACAUAAUUAAACAAGUUAAAACCAUUCUGGAGCCAUACCUCGCAGUACUUUGCAAGCAGGUAUGCAUAUGCUUGGCCUAUGGUUUCUGAGUUUACUUCUGUAUUCAGAAUAAUCUCACAUAUGUUGGAAGUUGAAUCUACAUAAUCUGGCACAUCUAACAUCAGCGGUGUCUUGAUAAAUCAGGUUUUGGAGGGUCUUCUAUAUCUGCAUCAUGAAAGGCAUGUGAUUCACAGGGACAUAAAGCCAUCUAACUUGUUAGUCAAUCAUAAAGGUGAAGUAAAGAUUACUGAUUUUGGGGUAAGUGCAGUGCUAGCAAGUUCGAUUGGCCAGCGUGAUACAUUUGUUGGAACCUACAACUACAUGGCGGUAUGUAAAAAAUCUCCUUUGUCUUCUAACUGCUAGCUUAUGCUUAUAGUGGUUAUCUGGGGUGCAUAAAUUUGCUGUCAUAGUUUUCUACAUUUCUUCCUUGUGCAGCCUGAGCGGAUAAGUGGCAGCUCCUAUGACUACAAGAGUGACGUAUGGAGUUUGGGCUUAGUAAUACUUGAAUGUGCCAUUGGCCGCUUCCCCUAUACUCCUUCAGAAGGAGAAGGUUGGCUAAGCUUCUAUGAACUAUUAGAAGCAAUUGUUGACCAGCCACCACCUGGUGCACCUGCAGAUCAGUUCUCUCCAGAAUUCUGCUCAUUUAUCUCUGCCUGGUAUGCUAAACAUUAUUCUCCAAAAUUACACACGAAAUUAGCUCACCUACUGCAUUCCUGCUUAUUUUCUUGCUUAGUAAAUUUGAAUGAACCUCUUGCCCUGUUUGUGUGUCCUUGUUGGUAAGGUUAACUUUUAAAGAAGCUAGGAACAAUGAGCUGCAACUAUUUUAAAUUGUUGGUAUGGUUAACUUGUUUUAAUAUGUACCUGCUUCCUUGUUUGUCACAGCUCAUGGACUUUGUGUAUUUAAGUUUCAUUUUCAUCUUUGAACAAUUGUGUGUUUCAAUAGAACUGUUUGAGCAUGAUCAUUUGAGCUUCAUUAAUUGUGGAGAAUAACUGUGCUAGGGUCCAUUUUAUGCUAUUGUGUACCACUUCGUUAGUUCCAUAUAGACCUUUUUGGCCAUAUGCAACAUAAGCAAGACAAGCUAUUUCGUUCCAUUGUGAGCAGACUUCUAUGUUCAUGUAGCAUGCAUGGCAAAAGUGCAUGUUCUCAUCCUUGCUGAUAACGGAGAGCUGUUUCUGCUCUCCACAGUGGGCAAGAACUUUUGGGCAGGUUUUAGCUAGAGUACCUUGCAACUAAAUGGAUCCCAUGCUAAGCAUGGGUAGAAACCCUGUUUCCAUGGAUCCAAAUGUUCCCUUCUACAUUUUCGAGUUGAAAUUACUGCUUUCAGUUGCAAUUAGUCAUCAAAGGUCAGAGUAGGUUUAAGUCAGGAAUCAGUAAAAGUGCUCGAUCACAUGCUUGUUGAAAUUUCAACUAAAAAAAAAAGAGCAACAGGGCCGUGUCUCAGAUCCGUGUUUCAGACGACUCGGGACUUGACAAGUUGGCUACGUCUUGAAAUCUUAUUCAUAUUGUUUUCACCUGUCAAAUCAUUUUGAUUUUUUGAGAUCUCUGAACCUUAUACGCAACCUGAAGUUGUCAUAAUUUAGUUUAUUUCAUUUUGAAAUUGGAAAGUUGUCAUGAUUUAUUAUUUCUAUAUUUCACAAAUUCUUUUUCGUUGCCACCAUAAAAAUAUAUUCAAAACCAAUAUAUUUGCAGUUAAAAAGGAAACAUAUGAAUUGAGGUUUCUUUUAGACAUUUUCCAUUUCAUUACAACCCAAGAAAUUUCAGCCCUCCCAAACAGAUUGACUCCCUUCUCCAGAUAGCAGUUGCUAAGGGCAACCUGCCACUAAAUAUAUUGUAUUGUUUUGAGUAGCUCGUUGGCUAUUGAAACUUCAGGCAGUUUAACUAUACUGUUUCAUGAAAAUCAAUUGUGUAACUACCCUGAUCUUGAGAUUUCAUGGCAAAAGGUACUUAUUAAUUUAAGUUAGCUGUGCCAAUAUCUAAAUUCUUUCCCAGAUUGAUAGUGCUAUGACUGAGGUUAUGACUCAAAUAAUAAUGCAGUACACAUUAUGCAUUUACUCAGUGAUUCUUCAUUUCUCAGUCCU
rnacentral:lncRNA from 1 species